GUCGUUAAUCUUGUCAAACGUCACUACUCUCUGGCAGGUUUGUGGUUCUAUCAGUAAGAAACAGAGACGUCUGGAACACACAGAUAGUUCGUCUUAAACAGAUAUGAACUCAGCUGUAACCCUGUGAGCGCCCUGCAUGAAGUCCCAGAGGGGGUUAUAAGGAAUAAAGUCAAGUACAGUCAGUUUACAUCCAGUAAACUCGUGUUAGACUUUAUGUUGUCUAAAAGCACAAACAGCUGCGUUGUUGUGUUUGCAUUCAAAGAGCGCGCUUACCGAGUACGAGGAGCAGGAGUGGCAGCAACAUCUUCAUCACCGGUUAAAGUCCUGAUAACAACAACACACAGCUGCUGCUGCACUAAAGUUGCUGUAUUCACCUUGGCUCACGCUCCACCUCCGGACUCAGGAUACCAAGCAAUCAUUCUGAAAAUCUCUCUGUGCCUCACCGGUAGUGAUGGGCAGAUGAAGCUUCAUGAAGCACUGAAGCUUUUCAUCCAAUUGGUUCACUCCAGUGCAAAGCUUCUUGAAGCUUCAUUUGCUCUAGUAGGACACCUACUGGACGUAAAAAUAGUAGUUGGCAUGAAUUUGAAGAGUGUGGCCUUUUGCACACAGCCUGUAAAUGUCAACAACAAAAGGA
ensembl:lncRNA